GUUCACUGCCGUACAGGUAGCUUAGAAA
rfam:Erwinia mallotivora strain BT-MARDI contig_45, whole genome shotgun sequence.